CAUGCAAAUGUCUUGGAACAAACAGAGCCAAGCAAGAUGAUUUAAAAUGCCAGUAGGCAGCGGCCAGGACCUUCUCCUACUGUAAAGGGAGGGGAAGAAGGAAUCCGCUCUGUGCAUGAGCCUGGCUUUCAGCUCAGUCCCAACUGCAAUGACAUUUUUCCUUUCACUGUUCUGAAAAAUGAACAACCUGACACUAACGCUGGAUGGGCUUUAGACAAUCUGCAUAUUGUAGGAGGCUUCCAUAGCACUGAAGAGGCAGUGCAAGGCUCUGGGCAUUACCUGUCAAGAGCGACAAUUGCCUUACAACCAAGGACCAUUGCAUGAUGGAAUGGUCAGGGCCAGCACGGGCACUUUGCUAGGUGGUUUGAUCGCACAUCACUGGACUGUGUGUAAGAGCUAGUCUUGGCUGCAGUGCUUAGUGUUAGGGACCAGUGUAGUGCCCGUACUAGCAUUAGAAUAUGAUGUAGUAUUAUCCACACAGGUUAGACCAAGCCAUGUCCUGGCACACUUGGGCCCCUCCUGUAUUAUGUGGGUGUGAUUAAAGCCCAAGACUGGGACACAGUCACUUUGGGAUUCAAUUUCUAGAGCUGCCACAGACUCUGGGGAAGCCAGGCUCUCCGUUUCCACUCUAAAGUGGGAAAGGAAUAAUUCCCUUGUCACUCCUGUCUAUUUGGACUGUAAGCGCCUUGUGGCAGGGGAAUGCGUUUUGCCCAGCACCUGGUGAAAAAGGAUCCCUCGAUGUUGGUUGGACUUUGGUAACACUAUAAGGCACGUAGUUCUAGUAACCAGGGUGGGGAGACAUUACAUGUUCCUUUUAAAAACUAGGGCCAAAUCCUAGUCUCAGCUAUGCCACUGGAAAUCCGGAGUAACUCCAGUUAAGUCCCUGGAAUUUCUUUGUAAACAGCCCUCACCUCGCCCAGCUGUAACAAAGCUCCUUGGCAGUGUCAUGGCAGCUUGGGCUCCUGUGUACAUACACACUGCCAAACCAUAUUACAGUGUCGUUGGGCAUUAUCAUGUCAUACCAGCCCCAACACUGAACAUUUUACAAUGUGAGUCGUUCUUCUGUUCAGCCACACCUUAGGCCGAAGUUUGGAACAGGAACACUAGGGGAUGCUUUGCAAAGGCGAGAGCCAGCGUGGCGGUCAGCAGAAUCAGCAACAAGUACCAGGAGUCUUGGAGAAUGUACCAGGAAAAGUUCAUCUGUCUUGUGUGCUGACAAAACAAAGCACGUUGGGCACACAGCAGUUUCCUUGGAAGCAGGUAUUGCCGUGUGGGCUGGUAUUCCUGGAAGAGGGCACUGCCUGUGUCUGUGACUGCCUCUGCUUCUGAACUGGGGUGCAUGCAGUAACAGCAUUGCUGAGCAUUCCACCCCCCAAGAACUAGCCAUUUGUUCUGGCACCAGCUGAGAUAACUGCAUGAAAUAUGUGGACAUGCAAAGGCAAAGCGUCACUUUCAUCACUUCAUCACCAUCCCCGCCACCAGUGCCCAGACUGGCCCCAGAAUCCAGCUGGACCAUGUUUUGGCCUCAUCAUGUCUGCACUGGGGCCAGCUUCAGCGCUUUGCCAUUCCUGAAGCUGGCUCAGCCUUCCACCCUGCAUGUGUCAACAUCUUCAGCAGGAUGCAGAUAAGAAGGAAAAGUUCUCUGUAAACAAUGGAGUGUGGCAUGCCAGGAGGCAUUUUUUUAAUUCAGUGGAAAUGUCAAAGAUCCUGCCCCAAGGACA